GCAGGACUGUGACUCACUGUGUUUAGAUCGAGCAAAGAUGGCAGGACUGGGACGUAUUGGGUUUCUAAACCACACUUUCUGUGUGAAAGAAGACUGAACGUGAAAGAAGCAUUGGGGAAGGUACUAGUUUAUUUCAAAAUACCCUGAGAACAUAACUCUCAGUCAGAGAGGGAAGGAUCAGACUGGAAUAAAUGAGGGCUUUCUUGGCUGCAUUGCAUCCAUAUUGACAUGAAAGGCGGGGUUUUCUCUCAUGAUACUAGAUAAUGAAUUUGAGCCUGGAUUAGAAAGGUAUUCAUUAAAAUCCAGUGGGGACAGAAUGGCUCUCAAGUUUCAGCACCUAGUACUUUGAGAAGAAUCAUGGUAAUGGUUUCCAUGUGAACGAGAGAACCGUUGUAUGUGAACAUUAAGGUGUUGAACACCGGGAACUCCCAUUGGCAUGAAUGGGACCAGUUGAGGGUACUCAGCACCUCUCAAGACUGAGGAUGUCAAUGAACAUAAAGAAGGAACCACUGCAAACAUAUCUGUCCCAGCUCUCUCUGCAUGCUAUCUUGCCUACCGAGGAAGAGUCAAAGAUGGCACGCUUGGGCAGGUGGCAUCGCUUCUGGGCUGGCACAUUGUUUCUAAGCAGCUGCCCUCAGGAGACUUGUUUGAAACACCCUCUGACUCUGUGACUUCUUGGCAGCUGCUCCCCUCGGUCUAAGCUUGGGUGUGUGAAUUAUCAUGGCACGAUGAUCCUGCUUGUAAAUGAUUUUGAUGUGUUAAGAUGAACGGGUUCUCCUCCAACGAGUGACAGUGUGUCACUGAAAUACCCUGUGCGUGAAGGUUCAGAAAGAUUCUUGCUUUUAGCAAUUUAAAGCAG